rnacentral:rRNA from 1 species
UACGGAGGGGGCUAGCGUUGUUCGGAAUUACUGGGCGUAAGGCGCGCGUAGGCGGACCUGCAAGUCGGGGGUGAAAGCCCGAGGCUCAACCUCGGAACUGCCUUCGAUACUGCGGGUCUCGAGUCCGGGAGAGGUGAGUGGAAUUCCUAGUGUAGAGGUGAAAUUCGUAGAUAUUAGGAAGAACACCAGUGGCGAAGGCGGCUCACUGGCCCGGUACUGACGCUGAGGCGCGAAAGCGUGGGGGGCAAACAGG